rnacentral:tRNA from 1 species
GGAGGGUCUGUGGUUCACUGGUAGAGCAUGUGCUUGGCAUAUAGAAGGUCCAAGGUUCGAUCCCCAGCACCUCCA